UAUAUAUAGGUGUAAUGAUGCACGGAGAAUUUUGAUUUCUCAAGAUUAGUUUAAUUCUAAAAUAUAUAA
rnacentral:tRNA from 1 species